rnacentral:rRNA from 1 species
CCCUUAGAUGUUCUGGGCCGCACGCGUGCUACACUGAGUGGAUCAGCGGGUCAGGUUGCGCGAAAGUGUUUCCUAAUCUUGAAAUCCGCUCGUGAUGGGGAUUGACGGUUGCAAUUUUCCGUCAUGAACGAGGAAUACCUUGUAAGCGCGGGUCAUCAUCCCGCGCUGAAUACGUCCCUGCCCUUUGUACACACCGCCCGUCGCUCCUACCGAUUGAGUGGUCCGGUGGGGCUUUGGGAUCUGAGCGGAAAGAGCGUUUCGCUGUUUCUGCCCGGAAAACUCAGUCGAACCUUAUCAUUUAGAGGAAGGAGAAGUCGUAACA